rnacentral:rRNA from 1 species
UACGAAGGGUGCAAACGUUGCUCGGAAUUACUGGGCGUAAAGCGUGCGCAGGCGGUGAUGUAAGACAGAUGUGAAAUCCCCGGGCUCAACCUGGGAACUGCAUUUGUGACUGCAUCGCUAGAGUACGGCAGAGGGGGAUGGAAUUCCGCGUGUAGCAGUGAAAUGCGUAGAUAUGCGGAGGAACACCGAUGGCGAAGGCAAUCCCCUGGGCCUGUACUGACGCUCAGGCACGAAAGCGUGGGGAGCAAACAGG